ACGAACGCUGGCGGCAUGCCUAACACAUGCAAGUCGAACGAGACCUUCGGGUCUAGUGGCGCACGGGUGCGUAACGCGUGGGAACCUGCCCUUAGGUUCGGAAUAACUCCCCGAAAGGGGUGCUAAUACCGGAUAAUGUCUUCGGACCAAAGAUUUAUCGCCUUUGGAUGGGCCCGCGUUGGAUUAGCUAGUUGGUAGGGUAAAAGCCUACCAAGGCGACGAUCCAUAGCUGGUCUGAGAGGAUGAUCAGCCACACUGGGACUGAGACACGGCCCAGACUCCUACGGGAGGCAGCAGUGGGGAAUAUUGGACAAUGGGCGAAAGCCUGAUCCAGCAAUGCCGCGUGAGUGAUGAAGGCCUUAGGGUUGUAAAGCUCUUUUACCCGGGAUGAUAAUGACAGUACCGGGAGAAUAAGCUCCGGCUAACACCGUG
rnacentral:rRNA from 1 species